rnacentral:rRNA from 1 species
UCCGUAGUCUUUGCAGUAAUGCAAGGCGGACUGCUCAGUAACACGUAGUCAACUUAACCUAUGGAUGGGUAUAACCUCGGGAAACUGAGAAUAAUUCCCAAUAGAUCAUUUAUCCUGGAAUGGUUGAUGAUUGAAAUGAUUCGUCGCCAUAGGAUAGGACUGCGGCCUAUCAGCUUGUUGGUGAGGUAAAGGCCCAGGAGGAUUAUUACAGGUACGGGCUCUGAGAGGAGAAGCCCGUAGAUGGGUACUGAGACACGGACCCAGGCCCUAUGGGGCGCCACAGGCGAGAAAACUUUGCAAUGUGCGAAAGCACGACAAGGUUAUCCCGAGUGAUAUCUGCUAAAGGAAUCUUUUGCCAGUCCUAAAAACACUGGUGAAUAAGGGGUGGGCAAGUUCUGGUGUCAGCCGCCGCGGUAGUUCCCACACCUCAAGUUGUCAGGAGGAUUAUUGGGCCUAAAGCAUCCGUAGCCGGCUCUGUUAGUUUUCGGUUAAACAUAUAUGCUCAACAUAUGGGCUGUUGAAAAUACUGCAGAGUUAGGGAAUGGGAGAGGUAGACGGUACUUGGUAGGAAGGGGUAAAAUCCUUUGAUCUAUCGAUUGCG